AUUGAACGCUGGCGGCAUGCCUUACACAUGCAAGUCGAACGGCAGCACGGGUGCUUGCACCUGGUGGCGAGUGGCGAACGGGUGAGUAAUACAUCGGAACAUGUCCUGUAGUGGGGGAUAGCCCGGCGAAAGCCGGAUUAAUACCGCAUACGAUCUACGGAUGAAAGCGGGGGACCUUCGGGCCUCGCGCUAUAGGGUUGGCCGAUGGCUGAUUAGCUAGUUGGUGGGGUAAAGGCCUACCAAGGCGACGAUCAGUAGCUGGUCUGAGAGGACGACCAGCCACACUGGGACUGAGACACGGACCAGACUCCUACGGGAGGCAGCAGUGGGGAAUUUUGGACAAUGGGCGAAAGCCUGAUCCAGCAAUGCCGCGUGUGUGAAGAAGGCCUUCGGGUUGUAAAGCACUUUUGGCCGGAAAGAAAUCCUUGGCUCUAAUACAGCCGGGGGAUGACGGUACCGGAAGAAUAAGCACCGGCUAACUACGUG
rnacentral:rRNA from 1 species